ACGAUAGACGAGAGUCCGCGAUCACAGAGAAACAUUUCAACGGCCGCGGAUAUUCUAACCGUGCAAAGGUAGCGUAAUCAUUUGUCUUCCAAAUAAAGACCAGUAUGAAUGGCUAAAUGAGGGCAAACCUGUCUCCUGUACCCAAUCAGUGAAAUUGAUCUCCUGGUACAAAAGCCAGAAUAAUUACAUAAGACGAGAAGACCCUGUGGAGCUUAAAAUUUACAACUACUUAAAAACUAGUAACAAUUUUAAGUUGGGGCGACUUCGGAACAAAACAAAACUUCCGAGCUAGGAGUUAACUCACUCCAAAUAAGGCCAACAAGCCAAUUAAACCGACCCAGUCACACUGAUCAACGAACCAAGUUACCCCAGGGAUAACAGCGCAAUCCCCUCCAAGAGUCCAUAUCGACAAGGGGGUUUACGACCUCGAUGUUGGAUCAGGACACCCUAAUGGUGCAGCCGCUAUUAAAGGUUCGUUUGUUCAACGAUUAAUAGUCCUACGUGAUAUG
rnacentral:rRNA from 1 species